rnacentral:rRNA from 1 species
UACGUAGGGGGCAAGCGUCGUCCGGAUUUAUUGGGCGUAAAGCGCGCGUAGGCGGCAAGGUGUGUCGUGCGUGAAAUCUCCCGGCUUAACUGGGAGGGGCCGUGCGAAACUGCCUGGCUUGAGGUCGGAAGGGGAAAGUGGAAUUCCGGGUGUAGUGGUGGAAUACGUAGAUAUCCGGAGGAACACCAGCGGCGAAGGCGGCUUUCUGGUCCGAUACUGACGCUGAGGUGCGAAAGCGUGGGGAGCGAUCCGG